rnacentral:rRNA from 1 species
UACGGGGGGAGCAAGCGUUGUUCGGAUUUACUGGGCGUAAAGGGCGCGUAGGCGGUCAGCACAAGUCAGUUGUGAAAUCUCCGGGCUUAACUCGGAAAGGUCAACUGAUACUGUGCGACUAGAGUGCGGAAGGGGCAACUGGAAUUCUCGGUGUAGCGGUGAAAUGCGUAGAUAUCGAGAGGAACACCUGCGGCGAAGGCGGGUUGCUGGGCCGACACUGACGCUGAUGCGCGAAAGCGUGGGGAUCAAACAGG